rnacentral:rRNA from 1 species
AGAGUUUGAUUCUGGCUCAGGAUGAACGCUAGCGACAGGCUUAACACAUGCAAGUCGAGGGGCAUUACGGGAGUAGCAAUACAACUGGUGGCGACCGGCGCACGGGUGAGUAACGCGUAUGCAACCUACCUAUCAGAGGGGAAUAACCCGGCGAAAGUCGGACUAAUACCGCAUAAAACAGGGGCACCGCAUGGUGAUAUUUGUUAAAGAAAUUCGCUGAUAGAUGGGCAUGCGUUCCAUUAGGUAGUUGGUGAGGUAACGGCUCACCAAGCCGACGAUGGAUAGGGGAACUGAGAGGUUGGUCCCCCACACUGGUACUGAGACACGGACCAGACUCCUACGGGAGGCAGCAGUGAGGAAUAUUGGUCAAUGGGCGGGAGCCUGAACCAGCCAAGUCGCGUGAAAGGAAGAAGGAUCUAUGGUUCGUAAACUUCUUUUGCAGGGGAAUAAAGUGCAGGACGUGUCCUGUUUUGUAUGUACCCUGAGAAUAAGGAUCGGCUAACUCCGUGCCAGCCGCUGC